UUCUCAUUUUAGGGCAUUUGGUCUCUCGUUUUUUUCUCUUCUCCCGCAUGUAUCUGAGAGGCGAUUUGGGGCGAUUCACUUCAACCCUUGAUAUACAAACGUUGUGCGAGCUGUUUUUUAAGAGUUUGUAGAUCCAACAUUAGUUGUGGCUCUCGUACCUAUCUAUUGUCUGAUUUCUCUCUGACGCGAUUUUGGGGUUUCAACUUCAACCCUUCAGUUUAGUCAUUGUUUCAGUCGUUGUGCGAGGUAGUUUGAGGCUUUUGUGCAAGCAGGUCUUUGAAGUCGCUGCAGGCUUGAAGGUGAGCGACCACAAUAUGCAUGUGGUAGAGGUCCCAUGCAUCUUUAUAGGGCUGGAACUCCAUAAAAUUAUGGUCGACAAUUCUAUAGGUGUCCAGCUCGGGAGGUAUGGCUUUAAUCUUUUAGGUGUUAUUUCUAUUACUGUUUCCUAAUUGUAUAAUUUAUAUUUUUUGUGGUCACAUAUGAAUGCAUUUAUAUGGGUGGAUGAGUUGCACUAAGGUGCACAAGUUGAAGAACAAGUUCAAUUUGACUUGGACAGAGUCAUUACAAUGAUUCAAAAUGAACAAUGUAGAUAGAAGUACAUGCUCUUCUUAGGUUGUGGAUAUCUUACUAUCACAAUCAUGUUUAUUGUGAUUGUCUUCUUCUUGCUUAUUAUCGUUGUUAUUGAAAGAUGAAGUUAGAUAAACUUCCAUCUCCUGUAAUAUAUGACAUGUCAUAGGUAUUUAGUUAAUUUCCUGUGUUUCAUUAUGUAAUAUAUACUUAAUUUUCUAUAUUUGGAUGACCUUGUUGCUGAGACUACAAAUGUUAUAUUUUCAACUGCGUAUUACUUGCUGUUGUGUUAUCUUAUGUGGCAUUUUGGGAGUGAGCUCAAGGGUAUUUACACUCAAAUUUGCAACUUAGCCUGAAAAAAGGUUAGCUAUGUCUUGCUUACUACAUCUUGUUUCAUUCCUACCAUGUGUUAUUUUAUUUCUCUCUAAUCCUCUUCAUGUGUUUGGUUGUGCAUGAGGUCAUUUACACUCAAAUUUGCAACUUAGCCUAAAAAAAGGUUAGUUAUAUCUUGCUUACUACAUCUUGCUUCAUUCCUACCAUGUGUUAUUUUAUUUCUCUCUAAUCUUUCAUGUGUUUGGUUGUGCAUGAGGUCAUUUACACUCAAAUAUGCAACUUAGCCUGAAAAAAGGUUACCUACAUCUUCCUUACUACAUCUUGCUUCAUUCCUAUCAUGUGUUAAUUUAUUUUUCUCUAAUCUUCUUCAUGUGUUUGGUUGUGCAUGAGGUCAUUUACACUCAAAGUAUAAUCAGGCUGUUUCCACUUAGAGUUUUUAAUGAUCUCAAUUCUUUUACUGUCUAUGGUGAACUUCUCAAUCAAACUAUUCUACAUGGUAUGCUUAUGAGCCUUAACUGACUUUGUUAUGCUCUCUGUCUUCUUAUUUAAUUGUUUUUCAACCCACAGUUCAAUUAAGCUGAUAUCUUUGUGCUUCAUUUGAUAUCCAAUUAAGAUUGGGCACGUACUGAAGUCCAUGUAAAAUAGGUUAGAACACAAUUGUUUAUUUAUACAUACCAAAUGUGAGCUGUUUUUUGAGUACACACAGCAAUCUUUCUUGUUUGGUGUUGAGUACACACAGUUGUUUUUGUCCAUGUAGGAAGGUUUUCCUGAUAUCUAAAGGUUGUGCAAGGAGCUUAGAGUGCAGAAAUCAUAUUGGAUAAAAAUGCUUCAGGAAUGGGACAAAUAUCAACACUCUCUUUUGAAGGAAUGGGACAAAUAUCAACACUCUCUUUUGGCAGCUUGUUCCGCCUUGUGAAGAAGACACCCCCGAGGCUUGUGCUGGGUUUGAGAAAUUGUAUACUGAUGAUGUAGAGAAAUUGUAUAGUGAUGAUGUAGAGAAAUUGUAAAUUAUAGGAAGUUAUUUUCUUUUAAGACCUUGACAGAUUGCUGCUGCUGUAAGUUGUGUAUUAUAAUUGUUACUUAUGAAAGAACAGUUCCAUUUU